rnacentral:rRNA from 1 species
AACGAACGCUGGCGGCAGGCUUAACACAUGCAAGUCGAACGCCCCGCAAGGGGAGUGGCAGACGGGUGAGUAACGCGUGGGAAUCUACCCAGUUCUACGGAACAACUGAGGGAAACUUCAGCUAAUACCGUAUACGCCCUACGGGGGAAAGAUUUAUCGGAAUUGGAUGAGCCCGCGUUGGAUUAGCUAGUUGGUGAGGUAACGGCUCACCAAGGCGACGAUCCAUAGCUGGUCUGAGAGGAUGAUCAGCCACACUGGGACUGAGACACGGCCCAGACUCCUACGGGAGGCAGCAGUGGGGAAUAUUGGACAAUGGGCGCAAGCCUGAUCCAGCCAUGCCGCGUGAGUGAUGAAGGCCUUAGGGUUGUAAAGCUCUUCCAGUGGGGACGAUAAUGACGGUACCCACAGAAGAAGCCCCGGCUAACUUCGUGCCAGCAGCCGCAGUAACAC